rnacentral:rRNA from 1 species
UAUCUCUGUAGAGUCUGCAUAUCAAUAAGCGGAGGAAAAGAAACUAACAAGGAUUCCCCUAGUAACGGCGAGUGAAGCGGGAAGAGCUCAAAUUUGAAAUCUUCAAGGUUUGACCUUGACGAAUUGUAGUUUAAAGAAGUGUUUUCGGUUAGAGGAGUAGUAAAAGUUCUUUGGAAUAGGACAUCAUAGAGGGUGAGAAUCCCGUAUUUGACUAUUCUUUCUAGCUUUGUGAUACACUUUCAAAGAGUCGGAUUGUUUGGGAAUGCAGUCCAAAAUGGGUGGUAAAUUUCAUCUAAAGCUAAAUAUUGGCGAGAGACCGAUAGCGAACAAGUACCGUGAGGGAAAGAUGAAAAGAACUUUGAAAAGAGAGUUAAACAGUACGUGAAAUUGUCAAAAGGGAAGCGUUUGACACCAGUGUUGUUUUUCCGAAAAUCAAUUAAAAAUUGAUUCAUGCCAGGUUGUAUUGACCUUAUCAGCUUGCGAUUUGGCUUUGGGUCUCCUUUUGAUGCACUUUUCGGUUAACAAGUCAACAUCAAUUUCCUUUGCUGUAAAAAGGUAAGAGGAAGGUGGCUUCAAUUUCGGUCGAAGUGUUUAUAGCCUUUUAUCUCUGCAGUCGGGGAGAUUGAGGUCUGCAGCGUAGAUCCUUCGGGGCUAGAUACAUUUAUGCUAAGUUAUAGCUUUUCAUAGACAACUUGUUGACUAUGUUUAGUCAUGUAGCUUACUCGUAAGUGCUAUUUUACCUACGCUUAGGAUGUUGAAGACUCUACAGAGAUA